UAGUGGUGAGGUAAGAGCCCACCAAGGCAGAGAUCGGUAGCCGGCCUGAGAGGGCACACGGUCACACUGGUCACUUGAAACACGGGCCAGACUCCUACGGGGAGGCAGCAGUGGGGAAUCUUGCACCAAUGGGGGGCAAACCCUGAUGCAGCGACUGGCCGCGUGAGCGAUGAAGCCCUUCGGGGUGUAAAGCUUCUUUCGGCAGGGAAGAUAGUGACGGGUACCUGCAGAAGCAGCUGCGGUAACUACGUGCCAGCAGGCCGCGGUAAUACGUAGAGGCAGCAAGCGUUGUUCGGAGUUACUUGGGCGUAAAGGGUGUGUAGGCGGUUCUAUAGGACAGGAUGUGGAAAUCCCCGGGCUCAACUGGGAAACUGAAUUUGGUGAACUUGUAGAGCUGGAGUGCGGCA
rnacentral:rRNA from 1 species